rnacentral:rRNA from 1 species
GACGAACGCUGGCGGCGUGCUUAACACAUGCAAGUCGAACGGAAAGGCCCUGCUUUUGUGGGGUGCUCGAGUGGCGAACGGGUGAGUAACACGUGAGUAACCUGCCCUUGACUUUGGGAUAACUUCAGGAAACUGGGGCUAAUACCGGAUAGGAGCUCCUGCCGCAUGGUGGGGGUUGGAAAGUUUCGGCGGUUGGGGAUGGACUCGCGGCUUAUCAGCUUGUUGGUGGGGUAGUGGCUUACCAAGGCUUUGACGGGUAGCCGGCCUGAGAGGGUGACCGGCCACAUUGGGACUGAGAUACGGCCCAGACUCCUACGGGAGGCAGCAGUGGGGAAUAUUGCACAAUGGGCGGAAGCCUGAUGCAGCAACGCCGCGUGCGGGAUGACGGCCUUCGGGUUGUAAACCGCUUUCGCCUGUGACGAAGCGUGAGUGACGGUGAUGGGUAAAGAAGCACCGGCUAACUACGUGCCAGCAGCCGCGGUGAUACGUAGGGUGCGAGCGUUGUCCGGAUUUAUUGGGCGUAAAGGGCUCGUAGGUGGUUGAUCGCGUCGGAAGUGUAAUCUUGGGGCUUAACCCUGAGCGUGCUUUCGAUACGGGUUGACUUGAGGAAGGUAGGGGAGAAUGGAAUUCCUGGUGGAGCGGUGGAAUGCGCAGAUAUCAGGAGGAACACCAGUGGCGAAGGCGGUUCUCUGGGCCUUUCCUGACGCUGAGGAGCGAAAGCGUGGGGAGCGAACAGGCUUAGAUACCCUGGUAGUCCACGCUGUAAACGGUGGGUACUAGGUGUGGGGUCCAUUCCACGGGUUCCGUGCCGUAGCUAACGCUUUAAGUACCCCGCCUGGGGAGUACGGCCGCAAGGCUAAAACUCAAAGGAAUUGACGGGGCCCCGCACAAGCGGCGGAGCAUGCGGAUUAAUUCGAUGCAACGCGUAGAACCUUACCUGGGUUUGACAUGGAUCGGGAGUGCUCAGAGAUGGGUGUGCCUCUUUUGGGGUCGGUUCACAGGUGGUGCAUGGCUGUCGUCAGCUCGUGUCGUGAGAUGUUGGGUUAAGUCCCGCAACGAGCGCAACCCUUGUUCACUGUUGCCAGCACGUUAUGGUGGGGACUCAGUGGAGACCGCCGGGGUCAACUCGGAGGAAGGUGGGGAUGACGUCAAGUCAUCAUGCCCCUUAUGUCCAGGGCUUCACGCAUGCUACAAUGGCUGGUACAGAGAGUGGCGAGCCUGUGAGGGUGAGCGAAUCUCGGAAAGCCGGUCUCAGUUCGGAUUGGGGUCUGCAACUCGACCUCAUGAAGUCGGAGUCGCUAGUAAUCGCAGAUCAGCAACGCUGCGGUGAAUACGUUCCCGGGGCU